rnacentral:rRNA from 1 species
GAUGAAUGCUAGCUACAGGCUUAACACAUGCAAGUCGAGGGGCAGCAUGAAAGGAACUUCGGUUCUUUUUUGAUGGCGACCGGCGCACGGGUGCGUAACGCGUAUCGAACCUGCCUCAUACUCGGGGAUAGCCUUGCGAAAGUAAGAUUAAUACCCGGCGGGUCUCGGAUGGCCGCAUGACUGUCCGAGUGAAGAUUUAUCGGUAUGAGAUGGCGAUGCGUCCCAUUAGCUUGUUGGUGAGGUAAUGGCUCACCGAGGCAUCGAUGGGUAGGGGUUCUGAGAGGAAGGUCCCCCACAUUGGAACUGAGACACGGCCCU